rnacentral:sRNA from 1 species
UGAUGAUGACCCUACACCGACCGAUGAU